rnacentral:lncRNA from 1 species
CAAUACCAGCUACUAUCUCUAACGAUCAUCAUCUUAGACCAACUAGACCUGAUUUUCGCUCCAACUCGAGAUAUCACAUCCAUGGUGCCUGCCACUACCUCCAGAGAUUUCUUUUGACCCCACAGAUGAAAAUUAUAGAGUUGGAAUCGGAUCACAUAUGGAUCAAUAUUGAUAUACUCGUAUCCAUAUUUAUCUUACUUGAUGAAUAUAAAUAUAGAUAGCAAUG